GUGGUGCUGAUUGUGUUUUCACGUGUGGCACCUGAAUCAUUGCCCUUUGAACUCUGUUGGAGGCCACUUUGUUUGUCAGUGAAGCCACUGAAGGAAACCACAUAAUGGGAUUUAUUGGUCCAAGCUUCUACAUCCGUCAGAUUGGAACCACCAAUACAAGAACUGGAAUAAAGAGCCACCACAGGUUCUUGGAACAUGAAGACCUGCAUACAACAAGAGGCGGCACAUCUCGUGGGCAUUAAGCUCCUGGUUGCACCUCGGACCACAAUGGACCACCGAGCGUGUCCGUUGCCUCCAUGCUUGAUCUCACAGCGACAGAGAGCCUGGCUCCAGUUGGACUAAACGCGCGCCGACACUUGACUGCCCGUCUCCUCUCCUCACGGCUGUGCGCGUGCCUCCACUCAGAAGACGAGCAGGAGAAGCGCUCAAAUAAAAGACACGGACACUCUGAAUGAAAGAUAAGGAAGGAAGGAGGAUGUUGCUAUAAAACAAGAGGGGGGCAUCUCAAACUGCUGCGGACUAAACGGAUGUCUUCACUGGUGAGUGAACCUGCUUCUGUGAAAUGUGAAUAUCUGGUGCGUCCUUGCAUCCCUGGCACGGCUGGUCAGUGGAGGGAGGGAGGGAGAUCCGAGCUCUUGUUGUAGUUGUGUGUGAGGGGGGAAUUGAAAGUUGGUGACAGGGGAGCGACAGUGAAAACAGACGCUUUUGGAUGAAAAUGAAAGUUUGAGGGAAAUCUAGUUUUUGGAGAGACAAUGGAGAAUAAGACAGGUACUGAGGGGUUGGGGUGCUGAAAAAUAAGUGUGUGCAACAUCAUAAUGCAACCUAUACAUAAGGAAAUGCACAGAAUGUGUUGUAUUGCAGUGGAUGAAGAGGUUGGGUGUUCGUGGGUAUGCGUAUUUACGCAUCCGAGCGUCUAAGGCGCAGUAAAAACGCCAAAAUAAAGUGAUUUACUGCAGUUUAA